GUAAAGCGUGCGUAGGUGGUCGUUUAAGUCUGUUGUGAAAGCCCUGGGCUCAACCUGGGAACUGCAGUGGAAACUGGACGACUAGAGUGUGGUANAGGGUAGCGGAAUUCCUGGUGUAGCAGUGAAAUGCGUARAGAUCAGGAGGAACAUCCAUGGCGAAGGCAGCUACCUGGACCAACACUGACACUGAGGCACGAAAGCGUGGGGAGCAAACAGGAUUAGA
rnacentral:rRNA from 1 species